UAAGGAAUAUUGGACAAUGGAGGCAACUCUGAUCCAGCCAUGCCGCGUGAAGGAUGAAGGUCCUCUGGAUUGUAAACUUCUUUUAUCUGGGACGAAAACGGGAUUUUUAUCUCAAUUGACGGUACAGAGGAAUAAGCACCGGCUAACUCCGUGCCAGCAGCCGCGGUAAUACGGAGGGUGCGAGCGUUAUCCGGAUUUACUGGGUUUAAAGGGUGCGUAGGUGGGCUUAUAAGUCAGUGGUGAAAUCUCCGAGCUUAACUUGGAAACUGCCGUUGAUACUAUAGGUCUUGAAUUAUCUGGAGGUAAGCGGAAUAUGUCAUGUAGCGGUGAAAUGCUUAGAUAUGACAGAGAACACCAAUUGCGAAGGCAGCUUACUACAUAUAAAUUGACGCUGAGGCACGAAAGAGUGGGGAUCAAACA
rnacentral:rRNA from 1 species